rnacentral:lncRNA from 1 species
ACCUGCUGUGGGCCGUUCUCACUCAGACCGGGGUCCCACCUCCAGGCACCCUCUCCUGAAGCCCCCUGCCACUCCCCAGUGGGGAACUCCUGGGAGCCUUCACUCAGCAGUUCAGGCCCGGCUGGAGGCUCCCCGCCCUGGGAAGAGGCCGGCUCCUCACCUGCGGCUCACAGCUGUUCCCUCUCUCAGCUCCAUCCCCACUCACCCUUCCCCACAGUUUUGUCCUAUUUCCUGGGCCUGCUUCCCCUCCUCCCCGGGGGACCCACCAUCCCAGAUGAGGUUCCUGCACCUGUGCGGUCGCCCAGUCUCUCCGUGGCACUCACCCUCCUAGACGCCCCCAGACAUCCCGCGCCCCGCCGCCCCGGUUCUCCAAGCGAAGACCGGGAGUCUGUGUCUGUCUCCCCAACACCCAUAUCCAGGCAAGGCCACCCUGACCUCCCCGAAAACCCACCGUGCACCAAGUCCAGCAUCCCCGGAGCAUCUGCUGUCUCUCGUCCAGAUCCCCGUUCUCUGCAAACCAUCCUGUUCCCCAAACGGUCCACCGCUUCCUUAAAAGGGGGCCCUCGCCCUGCAAAGGAGCGCAGCACCGGGCAAGGAGUCUCCAGGCGGAGACGGCGGGCUUCGGGCCAAGACGCGAGCCCUGCGAGCCCACGUCCCCAGCCGCUCUAUCCGGGGCCGCGCGACCCUGGAAAGUCACUCAACCUCUCCGGGCGCCCGCGGCCGCUCAGGGUGACGCUCGCCCAGCAGGGGGCGACAGCGAGCGCCGCACUCGCCUCCGACCUGCCCCCAGACCCCGCCCCGCGAGAACCGGCCCCGGCUGCCCUCGCGCCGGCUGUGCCCCGCGGGUCCGGGCUCCCACUGCGCCUGCGCAGACGCUCCUGCGGCCGGAAAGCGCGCCAGUCCCAGCGUGCACCGGGCUCGCGGCCGGGCCGGAAGGUUGUGCGGCUCUCGGCCCCGCCCCGGAAGAUAAGGCGGCAGCCGCCGCUGCGUCCCCUCUUCUGGCCGUGCUCGGCUGCAGGUAGGACGUGCUUGUGGAGGGCGGCCCGGCGCCAUCCGCCGCCAUCCGCCGCCAUCCGCCGCCCUGGGGGCCCGCUAGGCGCUCGGCGGGACUCCUGA